UACGAAGGGGGCUAGCGUUGUUCGGAAUUACUGGGCGUAAAGCGAACGUAGGCGGUGUUCCAUGUCAGAGGUGAAAGCCUGGGGCUCAACUCCAGAACUGCCUUUGAAACGGGAACGCUUGAGUCCGAGAGAGGAUGGCGGAAUUCCUAGUGUAGAGGUGAAAUUCGUAGAUAUUAGGAAGAACACCAGUGGCGAAGGCGGCCAUCUGGCGCGGUACUGACGCUCAGGUUCGAAAGCGUGGGGAGCAAACAGG
rnacentral:rRNA from 1 species